GUGCUCAGUUUGGCAUCACAUAUACUAAAAUUGGAAUGAUACAGAGAUUAGCAUGGCCCCUGUGCAAAGCUGGCAUGCAAAUUCAUGAAGCAUUCCACAUUUUU